CUGCGAAAUGGACGAGGUAGGCCGACAUUUAGCAAGUUUUGAGUGAAAGAAAGCCGAACGGAAGGACAGAACUGGGUCGACAUUGGCGAAAGAUCUUUGCUGGGAGAAACUCGAUAAAUUGAUAAUUUAUGCCCACGCAUCUCUAUAGGAUUUUUGCCUCUACAUAUUUUCGGACGGGAAGGACGCCGUUUUUAUCUCUCCUCGUAUUUACUCCUCAUCACUCGCAUCGGCCAACUGGACACAUUUUCUGGAUUUUUACUUGUUGCAUCUCUCAAAGUAUAAAAAUAUAUACUUUCGAAAAUUCCAUUUUUUUAAGAGUGACAUAAUUGGUAGGAUGAAGCUCAGAAAGUUUAUCCAGUUUGACACGAACCACCACUACCCGAGCACAUUCGCAGUGCUAUUUCUCAUCAAUAUGUUCAACCAAAAUCAUAUUCGUCAACCGACUUGGAAAUACCAAACACUCUGGAUGACAUACACCAACAAGUGUCACCAGAUUUGAAAAUGGGGUACUUCAUCAUGACCAAAAAGUUUUUUAUUUUGGAAGACGGGUGAAAGUCGGGCAAAAUCCGGGAAGUUAUUUCCGCAACCAUUCAAGUGAUCAUUGCCAUCCUAAUUUUAUGCAGCAUGAAUAUUUAUGAUUUGAUUUGAACGUGAAAGGAUUAACAGACUUCGUACAUUUUUACUAUAUUAUAAAUCACUCAACACAUUUACCUGACUUUUUCCACACAUUUGGAUAAGAAAUUAUUUGCCCAAAUUACCUAAACGUAGACACCCAACAUCUACAAGUUAGACUUGCGAAAUGAAAAGACUGCGUAAUUUGACUAAUUCAUUUAAUGUUAGUUUUUAAGUAAUUUCUUUUGGUCAUCUGUCAAAAAUUAUCUAAAAUCGUAGCAGUAAUAAUUGUAGCCCAGUUAAACAAGAUCUGUAAACACAAUCAGUCGAAAAAUUAUGUAUCUAUUACCGCUUGAGAUUCAUUGAAAUGGAAUUUCUCAUUGUAUUGCAAAUAUGUACAUAUCUAUGCAUAUGUACAUACAUAAAUUUGUACAUAUGUCGCUGCAGCCAGGGAUUCGAUGCGUGUGUAUGCAAAGAUCUUAUUUGUGUAGCUGCUGCUGCACAUCAAGCAAAAUAUUUUAGCUCAAUGUUCAGUAUAGACAAAUUUUGACUAGAGAAAUGUAAUCUUUUGGUCAGACAAAAAUAUGUACAAAUGUCACAAGUUUGGAAAAUACAUAUCGAGCUUUUUAGGAUCUGUAUGUGAUCGAUAUCGCAGAGGACCGAUGGAAAAUCGCGGGCGCUAGGAUCCACGAUGCAGGGAAUUAGCAAAUGGUUAAAAGGAGUAAUUUUACUGCUUUUACGUGCAUCAAAUGUAGAGGUGCAUGCAGAACUGUGCUAGUGUGAUGUGAGUCAGGUCAGUGUAAUGUAAUCUACUACAAAUUGUAGUCUACAAUGUACCAUGCCUGGAAUUUCUUACCCCACCAACCCGCAAUGCGGGGAGAACACUUGGAGAAAAUACUGAUUUUUUUUUCAAUAGGGACAGAUAUUCAACUAAAAAUUAUUAAUAAACCGUAGUAACGUUAGAAGUAGCUCACCCUGUCAUAAUGAUUUGCAUAUAACUUUCCACCAAAGGUACGGAAUAAGUCGACAAAAUAGAUUACAACUCUCAUAGAUUCUUGCACCAAUAGUGCAAUAUAAACGGAAAAAUAUUUUU